rnacentral:rRNA from 1 species
UACGGGAGGCAAGCAGUGGGGAAUUUUGGACAAUGGGCGCAAGCCUGAUCCAGCCAUGCCGCGUGUCUGAAGAAGGCCUUCGGGUUGUAAAGGACUUUUGUCCGGGAGCAAAUCCCAGUGGUUAAUACCUACUGGGGCUGAGAGUACCGGAAGAAUAAGCACCGGCUAACUACGUGCCAGCAGCCGCGGUAAUACGUAGGGUGCAAGCGUUAAUCGGAAUUACUGGGCGUAAAGCGUGCGCAGGCGGUUGUGCAAGUCUGAUGUGAAAGCCCCGGGCUUAACCUGGGAACGGCAUUGGAGACUGCACGACUAGAGUGCGUCAGAGGGGGGUAGAAUUCCGCGUGUAGCAGUGAAAUGCGUAGAGAUGCGGAGGAAUACCGAUGGCGAAGGCAGCCCCCUGGGAUGACACUGACGCUCAUGCACGAAAGCGUGGGGAGCAAACAGGAUUAGAUACCCUGGUAGUCCACGCCCUAAACGAUGUCAACUAGCUGUUGGGGGUUUGAAUCCUUGGUAGCGUAGCUAACGCGAGAAGUUGACCGC